UUUCCAGAGGCCUUUCUGACGACGACUAGAAACUUCCAAACAGCUAUCCACAGAGCUAAUGAAAGGACAAGGUGUUUCUUUUUAUGAUCUGUUAAGACCACCUCAAUUCUCAUACUUAUCUUGGAUCAGCAACAACCAACCUUAAGGACAUGCAAUUGAAGAUAGCUCCUCUCCAGAAGUGUCUUCUCUUUAUCACCACCCAAUGGACAUAUUUGAAUCGAUGGCAGACGGGGCCUCCAAACCCACUCCAACUUUCGUCUUUCUCUCAGCACAUUUGGGAUCUGCAGCCUAAUACACAUCCCAGACUAGAUAUGCUGAUAUUCUUGCAGUAUUUGAAGCAUGGGUGGAAUACUUACUGGCUGUAUGAGCA